rnacentral:rRNA from 1 species
GUGGGGAAUAUUGGACAAUGGGCGAAAGCCUGAUCCAGCCAUGCCGCGUGUGUGAAGAAGGUCUUCGGAUUGUAAAGCACUUUAAGUUGGGAGGAAGGGCAGUAAGUUAAUACCUUGCUGUUUUGACGUUACCAACAGAAUAAGCACCGGCUAACUCUGUGCCAGCAGCCGCGGUAAUACGAAGGGUGCAAGCGUUAAUCGGAAUUACUGGGCGUAAAGCGCGCGUAGGUGGUUUUGUAAGUUGGAGGUGAAAUCCCCGGGCUCAACCUGGGAACUGCCUCCAAAACUGCAUGACUAGAGUACGGUAGAGGGUAGUGGAAUUUCCUGUGUAGCGGUGAAAUGCGUAGAUAUAGGAAGGAACACCAGUGGCGAAGGCGACUACCUGGACUGAUACUGACACUGAGGUGCGAAAGCGUGGGGAGCAAACAGGAUUAGAAACCCCUGUAGUCC